rnacentral:ncRNA from 1 species
GGUCCAGAGUGUCAGCGUUAAGUUUCGGCUAGCUGAACGACAACCCUUCCACCGCGAUGGGGUGCCCCCGAAAAGAAGACCUGGCUCAAAAUCUGAGCAAGCGCGGGUC